GGCGAUUUUCUAUUUAUGGUUUUGUUUGCUGAAAAGCCGCAGCUCGAAACGUUUUGACAAAUGUUCGCGUAUUAUGAAUCAAAUCUAAUUUUGGCCAGGUUUCUGGCGUCUGCCAUCAAGAAUUGAGCGAAGAAGAAGCCCCAAGAGUCAAACAAGUUGAACAUUUGAACGUUGAUAUAUACAAGUGUGUGGGCUGCGAUCGGUUUUAUAAGGCGUUCUUCUGGUUGGGCAAUAAAACAUGUGCACACACAUAAAUCGAGAGCGAUUUGAAUUGGCGUUACGCAUACGACAUGUUGGCCAAAGCGAACAGCAAACAUUUCGCACCCCAGUCGGCUGACAUAAACUUAUCGCAAACUAACAGUAAUCACAUCGCAAUGAAGAUGCUUGUUGAACUUGGACCAGAAACACACCAUCUCAGUCACAACCAGGAUGUGCACAGAUAAGCAAGUGAGCCGGCGAAUUCAGCACGAUUCACGAAUAACAAAUAGAGAUCCGGGGAACGGGUGACCAAUGGAACCAGCCGGAAUUGGAAGCACUCUGCUCUGCUGACGUAGAAUUCGAUGGCGACGAAGUGUGCCGGCUGCCGGCAAGUGACUCAGCCUCCAUUUAAAGCGAGUCAAUAAGAGACCCCAAGAAGAAGACUGCGGAGAAUUUGUUUUUGUUUGGAUACCCUAGACUGUGUGGGGUACGUUCAUUUUGGUGGUUCGUUUUAAUUGCAAAAAUAAUAAUUGCAAGAAUUUAAUAGAAAUAGUAUAUUUGCAGCUCAUUAAAGACAGGCUAGCCUUAUGUGGAUAAUUAAUUUAAAAGGAAAUAUAGUAUGCAAGAUGCAUUUCAUAUUCUUCUUUCUGUUACAAGUUAUAUCCAUUUUAAAUAUUUAUUACUAAUAAUUUCAAACAACAAAAGAUACAUUAAGAGUAUGUCGAAUUCCAUAACCCCGACAGUAGCAAUCUAUCUCAUUUGCUUGUGUAAGGGACAAAACAUUUGCGACAGUCAUUGCAGCGCUUAACUAGCGCGCAAAAUGUGUCAUAAAAUUAUUACAAAAGCGAAUUAUUUCUCUGUCUAACUCAUUAUAAACUGUCAAGUUCUAAUUUAGUAAAUUAAAUAAAGCGGGAAUAAAGCUCGACCAGGUCAGGGGCUAUUUUUAGGGGUAUGAAUGGUCAGGAGCAUAGGAACUUUUCUAUCAAAAUCGAUUUCCAUCAGGUCAAAACUAUUUCUAUGUCUACAGAUCAGAUAGUGCGUGAUAUCAAAAAUGUAAAAUGUUGAUGGACAAUCCAAAUAACAAAUUGCAAAUGGCUCAGUAUCUAUUUUUAGCGGAUAAAAACUGUCGACUAUUAGAUUGCCAGCAUUCUUAUCGAAAUGAAAGCGGGGAAAAAAAAAAAAUGCAAAGAUUAAAACGUGUGCUGGCUAUGCAAAUUCUAGUGAAAACCCAAUUCUCGUAUCUAAUCUAUUCGAAUCGUAAAACCGAAGCAUAAACAACUUGUUAACAGGUCAUUAAAACGUUUAAAAAAUAUUUGCGGCACGUUUUGUACUGCCUUUUGCCGCAACUCUCCCCUCAACUAAAUUGUUCAAUAAUUGUUUGAAUGCUUAUUUAUGUAGCUACAACUCAAUCAAGCCGGGCAAAUAAUAAAUACGUGAUUAAUAAAACCGAUUUUGUUUGCCCAGCAGCCAGAACGUCGCCAGCGGGGCUAUGAAAUACGAAAGGGUAAUCUUAUCAUGACGAAUGGUUUCCAAUGCAAGGGCGUUGAGUUCAUCAUAGAACUGAGGAUCGGUUAUCAAGUGUUAACCUGUAGACUUAUCGAUGGAGCCGCACCACCGAAAGGUACUGGAGAUUAGGGGGGUUCCUUAAGUAAUGCGUUAAAAAUAGCGGCAUUAUGCGAGCUCUACUAGAUUCCAAACGGUUCACUUCAGAUAUCUGAGCUGAUGACCACGGCUGCGUCAGAUUCUAUUUUGUCUAACCGGUGUUCCUGGUAAAGGUAUGCCUAAAUAAUACUAUCAGUAGGUAAAAACUAGGAAAUAAGUGGCUUAUCUCUUAAAUAUAUUACUGCAAAAGUGA